CUGACGGAGCAACGCCGCGUGAGUGAUGAAGGCUUUCGGGUCGUAAAACUCUGUUGUUAGGGAAGAACAAGUGCUAGUUGAAUAAGCUGGCACCUUGACGGUACCUAACCAGAAAGCCACGGCUAACUACGUGCCAGCAGCCGCGGUAAUACGUAGGUGGCAAGCGUUAUCCGGAAUUAUUGGGCGUAAAGCGCGCGCAGGUGGUUUCUUAAGUCUGAUGUGAAAGCCCACGGCUCAACCGUGGAGGGUCAUUGGAAACUGGGAGACUUGAGUGCAGAAGAGGAAAGUGGAAUUCCAUGUGUAGCGGUGAAAUGCGUAGAGAUAUGGAGGAACACCAGUGGCGAAGGCGACUUUCUGGUCUGUAACUGACACUGAGGCGCGAAAGCGUGGGGAGCAAACAGGAUUAGAUACCCUGGUAGUCCACGCCGUAAACGAUGAGUGCUAAGUGUUAGAGGGUUUCCGCCCUUUAGUGCUGAAGUUAACGCAUUAAGCA
rnacentral:rRNA from 1 species